rnacentral:rRNA from 1 species
CCUACGGGGGGCAGCAGUGGGGAAUAUUGGACAAUGGGCGAAAGCCUGAUCCAGCCAUGCCGCGUGUGUGAAGAAGGCCUUCGGGUUGUAAAGCACUUUCAGUGGGGAAGAAAGCCUUGGGGCUAAUACCCUCGAGGAAGGACAUCACCCACAGAAGAAGCACCGGCUAACUCCGUGCCAGCAGCCGCGGUAAUACGGAGGGUGCGAGCGUUAAUCGGAAUUACUGGGCGUAAAGCGCGCGUAGGCGGUCUGAUAAGCCGGUUGUGAAAGCCCCGGGCUCAACCUGGGAACGGCAUCCGGAACUGUCAGGCUAGAGUGCAGGAGAGGAAGGUAGAAUUCCAGGUGUAGCGGUGAAAUGCGUAGAGAUCGGGAGGAAUACCAGUGGCGAAGGCGGCCUUCUGGACUGACACUGACGCUGAGGUGCGAAAGCGUGGGUAGCAAACAGGAUUAGAUACCCGAGUAGUC